rnacentral:rRNA from 1 species
UGCGAGAAGUCCAUUGAACCUUAUCAUUUAGAGGAAGGAGAAGUCGUAACAAGGUUUCCGUAGGUGAACCUGCGGAAGGAUCAUUGCCGAGACCGAAAUAUAUCGAACGAUUUGGAGAACUCGUCAAAAUAAGCGGUGGCUAUUGUUGCCGCGAUAAAAUCCAUCCCAAUCGUUGCCUCAUCCCCUUGGGGGUGGGGAUGCGAUGAAGGCUGGAUGAACACUCAAACCGACGCAGCGUCGCGUCAAGGUAGUAAUGAAACAUGAGCCCUUAAAUGGGUCUUGUGGCAUGGGGUGUGCUAUUGCACACCAUAUGGAUUAACAUGACUCUCGGCAAUGGAUAUCUCGGCUCUCGCAUCGAUGAAGAGCGCAGCGAAAUGCGAUACGUGGUGCGAAUUGCAGAAUCCCGCGAACCAUCGAGUCUUUGAACGCAAGUUGCGCCCGAGGCCAACUGGCCAAGGGCACGUCUGCCUGGGUGUCAAGCGUUACGUCACUCCGUGCCACCUCCAUUCCUUCAAUGGAUGGGCUGGCGAAGGCUCGGAUGUGUAGAGUGGCUCGUCGUGCCCGUCGGUACGGCGGGCUGAAGGUCGGGUCAUCAUCUCGUUGGCCGCGAACAAUAAGGGGUGGAUUAAAGAGAGACCUAUGUUAUUGUGUCGUGUAUGCCUGAGAGAAGACUAUCCAUUAUCAGAUGAUCCCAAAUCAUGUGUCGAUUCACGAAUGGCGCUUGGAAUGCGACCCCAGGAUGGGCGAGGCCACCCGCCGAUUUAAGCAUAUCAAUAAGCGGAGGAGAAGAAACUACGAGGWUCCCUAG